GUAGGUUAAGGUAGGGUAGGUUAAGGUAGGGGUUAUAUCUGGAUAGUGUAGGUUAGGGUAGGUUAAGGUAGGGUAGGUUAAGGUAGGUUAAGGUGGGGUAGGUUAAGGUAGGGUAGGUUAAGGUAGGGUAGGUUAAGGUAGGGUAGGUUAAGGUAGGGGUUAUAUCUGGAUAGUGUAGGUUAAGGUAGGUUAAGGUAGUGUAGGUUAAGGUAGGGUAGGUUAAGGUAGGUUAAGGUAGGGUAGGUUAAGGUAGGGGUUAUAUCUGGAUAGUGUAGGUUAAGGUAGGUUAAGG